rnacentral:rRNA from 1 species
UAACUCCAACCCCUGUGACAUACCUUACUGUUGCCUCGGCGGAUCAGCCCGCUCCCGGUAAAACGGGACGGCCCGCCAGAGGACCCCUAAACUCUGUUUCUAUAUGUAACUUCUGAGUAAAACCAUAAAUAAAUCAAAACUUUCAACAACGGAUCUCUUGGUUCUGGCAUCGAUGAAGAACGCAGCAAAAUGCGAUAAGUAAUGUGAAUUGCAGAAUUCAGUGAAUCAUCGAAUCUUUGAACGCACAUUGCGCCCGCCAGUAUUCUGGCGGGCAUGCCUGUUCGAGCGUCAUUUCAACCCUCAAGCCCUCGGGUUUGGUGUUGGGGAUCGGCGAGCCUUUCUGGCAAGCCGGCCCCGAAAUCUAGUGGCGGUCUCGCUGCAGCCUCCAUUGCGUAGUAGUAAAACCCUCGCAACUGGAACGCGGCGCGGCCAAGCCGUUAAACCCCCAACUUCUGAAUGUUGACCUCGGAUCAGGUAGGAAUACCCGCUGAACUUAAGCAUAUCAA